rnacentral:rRNA from 1 species
CAGUAGCCGCGGUAAUACGUAGGGUGCGAGCGUUAAUCGGAAUUACUGGGCGCAAAGCGUGCGCAGGCGGCUUUGCAAGACAGAUGUGAAAUCCCCGGGCUCAACCUGGGAACUGCAUUUGUGACUGCAAGGCUAGAGUGCGGCAGAGGGAGAUGGAAUUCCGCGUGUAGCAGUGAAAUGCGUAGAUAUGCGGAGGAACACCGAUGGCGAAGGCAAUCUCCUGGGCCUGCACUGACGCUCAUGCACGAAAGCGUGGGGAGCAAACAGGAUUAGAUACCCCUGUAGUCCCUGUCUCUUAUAC